UGGGGAAUUUUGCGCAAUGGGCGAAAGCCUGACGCAGCAAUACCGCGUGAGUGAAGAAGGCCUUUGGGUCGUAAAGCUCUUUUAUAAGGGAAGAUAGUGACGGUACCUUAUGAAUAAGCACCGGCUAACUCCGUGCCAGCAGCCGCGGUAAUACGGAGGGUGCGAGCGUUGUUCGGAUUUACUGGGCGUAAAGGGCACGUAGGCGGCAUAGCAAGUUAAGGGUGAAAUCCCGGGGCUCAACUCCGGAACUGCUCUUAAAACUGCUAAGCUAGAGAUAGUCAGAGGCGGGUGGAAUUCCUGGUGUAGAGGUGAAAUUCGUAGAUAUCAGGAGGAACACCGGUGGCGAAGGCGGCCCGCUGGGGCUAUUCUGACGCUAAGGUGCGAAAGCGUGGGGAGCGAACGGGAUUAGAUACCCCCGUAGUCC
rnacentral:rRNA from 1 species